UGAAUGACGUCAGUUCUCCGUCUAUAUAACUGCAGCUUUUGUUAUUUAACAUCCAUUGUACAGUUUACAACAUCCACUCUCACAGUGCUACAUUACGCUCACAGUGUCAUCCUCUCUUGUUUAUUGGUGGUCGUUAGCUGCAUAUUUCACAACCAAAAGAUGAAGCUCUUCCUCUUUCUUCUCAUUUCGUUGGUCCUUAUCAACAUUUCAUAUACGGAACCACGUUCGGCUUUUGUACAGAAACGUGGAGUGUUCAAACGCGGACUAGCUACCGGUUUUCGGUAUGGAUGGAGAUAUAAAUCCAUGUUUGGCAGAGGUGGGGUGGACGGACAAGCAUCAUUUAGGAGAGAAGAAGGAGGAAACAGAAGACGGUUGUAGCAGUGGUGUAAAAUUAAAAGCAACGUGGACAACUCUUCAAGAACAGGAAAAUGUCAUUUAUUAGAACGCAUUCCGGUCUUACAUACAGAUACUUAAACAUGAAAAAAAGCAGUGACACUAUCGAAACCAUUAUUGAGACACUGAUCAGUUUUGGAGCCAACGUUUUUCUUGUAUAAGCAUUACAGCAAAUAAAUAAAUAAGUGCAAACCGUU